rnacentral:rRNA from 1 species
UACGAAGGGGGCUAGCGUUGUUCGGAAUUACUGGGCGUAAAGCGCACGUAGGCGGGCAUUUAAGUCAGGGGUGAAAUCCCGGAGCUCAACUCCGGAACUGCCUUUGAUACUGGGUGUCUUGAGUGUGGAAGAGGUGAGUGGAAAUUCCGAGUGUAGAGGUGAAAAUUCGUAGAUAUUCGGAGGAACACCAGUGGCGAAGGCGGCUCACUGGUCCAUUACUGACGCUGAGGUGCGAAAAGCGUGGGGGAGCAAACAGG